rnacentral:misc_RNA from 1 species
UUAUUCCUUUUGUUCGUGCUUUCUCGGUAAUUUGACAGUUCAAAUUAGGCAGUCAUUUUGGUUAUCCGCAUUACUGAACUCAAUGCAGAAAAAGGUGGAAAGUGGUGGUGCGAGAGUGGCGCAAGUUUCAGUCAGAAAUUUUUGUUUUGAAUAUCUGAUAGUAAACAGUUGGCACUGGAUGAAAAAUAUAUAAGUUUCAUUUGAAUUAAUAAAGAAUUGAAUGGAAAAAUGUAUUAAAUUAUUAACCGUUCCAACAUAAAUAAAGUGUUAAAGAUUGAAUUAAAGCCAAUUUUCAAAUUUAAUUUAAAUAAAAUAAGAAAUAUAAAUUUGUCAACAACAUCAACUUUUGGAAAAACUUGCUGGAAUCCAUGUAUAUUACAACCAUAAAACGACAAAUAACGCGAACUUCAUCGACUUGUUAUAAACCGGUGCACGAUAAAAAUAUCGAAUAAUCGUUGUGCUAUUUAGAUUACAUUUAUCUUUCUUUAAAGUCAGAGGAAAGGACACCAAUAACAAACAAUCAUAUGUGCACAUAUAUGUACACAAACAUCAGCAGGUGCAACAUUUAAAACAUUUUUUACAACAAUAACAUGUCUGAUCUUGGCAGUGGCGACGAAGGCAUUUCUGGUUCAAAAUACAAUGCAAGCGGCAUGGAAGGCACAGGUGGAAGAAGUGACUUCGAUUCUUCUGGCAAGGGUAAGUGUACAUUGACGAAUUAAGUU